CAGCGACACUAUGUGUUGUUGGGUAGGGGAGCGUUCUGUAAGCCUGUGAAGGUGUGCUGUGAGGCAUGCUGGAGGUAUCAGAAGUGCGAAUGCUGACAUAAGUAACGAUAAAGCGGGUGAAAAGCCCGCUCGCCGGAAGACCAAGGGUUCCUGUCCAACGUUAAUCGGGGCAGGGUGAGUCGACCCCUAAGGCGAGGCCGAAAGGCGUAGUCGAUGGGAAACAGGUUAAUAUUCCUGUACUUGGUGUUACUGCGAAGGGGGGACGGAGAAGGCUAUGUUGGCCGGGCGACGGUUGUCCCGGUUUAAGCGUGUAGGCUGGUUUUCCAGGCAAAUCCGGAAAAUCAAGGCUGAGGCGUGAUGACGAGGCACUACGGUGCUGAAGCAACAAAUGCCCUGCUUCCAGGAAAAGCCUCUAAGCAUCAGGUAACAUUAAAUCGUACCCCAAACCGACACAGGUGGUCAGGUAGAGAAUACCAAGGCGCUUGAGAGAACUCGGGUGAAGGAACUAGGCAAAAUGGUGCCGUAACUUCGGGAGAAGGCACGCUGAUAUGUAGGUGAAGUCCCUCGCGGAUGGAGCUGAAAUCAGUCGAAGAUACCAGCUGGCUGCAACUGUUUAUUAAAAACACAGCACUGUGCAAACACGAAAGUGGACGUAUACGGUGUGACGCCUGCCCGGUGCCGGAAGGUUAAUUGAUGGGGUUAGCGGUAACGCGAAGCUCUUGAUCGAAGCCCCGGUAAACGGCGGCCGUAACUAUAACGGUCCUAAGGUAGCGAAAUUCCUUGUCGGGUAAGUUCCGACCUGCACGAAUGGCGUAAUGAUGGCCAGGCUGUCUCCACCCGAGACUCAGUGAAAUUGAACUCGCUGUGAAGAUGCAGUGUACCCGCGGCAAGACGGAAAGACCCCGUGAACCUUUACUAUAGCUUGACACUGAACAUUGAGCCUUGAUGUGUAGGAUAGGUGGGAGGCUUUGAAGUGUGGACGCCAGUCUGCAUGGAGCCGACCUUGAAAUACCACCCUUUAAUGUUUGAUGUUCUAACGUUGACCCGUGAUCCGGGUUACGGACAGUGUCUGGUGGGUAGUUUGACUGGGGCGGUCUCCUCCUAAAGAGUAACGGAGGAGCACGAAGGUUGGCUAAUCCUGGUCGGACAUCAGGAGGUUAGUGCAAUGGCAUAAGCCAGCUUGACUGCGAGCGUGACGGCGCGAGCAGGUGCGAAAGCAGGUCAUAGUGAUCCGGUGGUUCUGAAUGGAAGGGCCAUCGCUCAACGGAUAAAAGGUACUCCGGGGAUAACAGGCUGAUACCGCCCAAGAGUUCAUAUCGACGGCGGUGUUUGGCACCUCGAUGUCGGCUCAUCACAUCCUGGGGCUGAAGUAGGUCCCAAGGGUAUGGCUGUUCGCCAUUUAAAGUGGUACGCGAGCUGGGUUUAGAACGUCGUGAGACAGUUCGGUCCCUAUCUGCCGUGGGCGCUGGAGAACUGAGGGGGGCUGCUCCUAGUACGAGAGGACCGGAGUGGACGCAUCACUGGUGUUCGGGUUGUCAUGCCAAUGGCACUGCCCGGUAGCUAAAUGCGGAAGAGAUAAGUGCUGAAAGCAUCUAAGCACGAAACUUGCCCCGAGAUGAGUUCUCCCUGACUCCUUGAGAGUCCUGAAGGAACGUUGA
rnacentral:rRNA from 1 species